CAGCCGCCGCGGGAAUACGGAGGGGGCUAGCGUUGUUCGGAAUUACUGGGCGUAAAGCGCACGUAGGCGGCUUGGUAAGUUAGAGGUGAAAGCCCGGAGCUCAACUCCGGAAUUGCCUUUAAGACUGCCGAGCUAGUAGGUGAGAGAGGUAAGUGGAAUUCCGAGUGUAGAGGUGAAAUUCGUAGAUAUUCGGAAGAACACCAGUGGCGAGGGCGGCUUACUGGCUCAUUCUAGACGCUGAGGUGCGAAAGCGUGGGGAGCAAACAGGAUUAGAUACCCGCGUAGUCCCUGUCUCUUAUAC
rnacentral:rRNA from 1 species